CAAACCAAAAGCUGGCGACCGGCGCACGGGUGAGUAACACGUAUCCAACCUGCCUCAUACUCGGGGAUAGCCUUUCGAAAGAAAGAUUAAUAUCCGAUAGCAUAUAUUUCCCGCAUGGGUUUUAUAUUAAAGAAAUUCGGUAUGAGAUGGGGAUGCGUUCCAUUAGUUUGUUGGGGGGGUAACGGCCCACCAAGACUACGAUGGAUAGGGGUUCUGAGAGGAAGGUCCCCCACAUUGGACUGAGACACGGCCCAA
rnacentral:rRNA from 1 species